UGCCUGUAGUGUUUGGUGUCUUCAUUUGGGUGGCAACUCUGGUGCUCUUUCUCCCCCAUCCUUUUGCCGUGCCUGAUGCAUUUCAUAAUAAUUUUAAAAAGAGCAAGACUGUUACCUAGCAGUGUGUAGCGUGAGCUAUAGUCGUGUUUUUAAAAUGAUUCAUAUGCAUAUGCUUGCGGAUGUAUGCACCAGGCCAGGAAUGAAUCCCAGGGAAUCCUUAAUGGGCUUCAGAGUGGGGGCCAGGAUCUGGGGACCCCAGGGGAGCAGGGAGACAUGCUUUUCCAUGAUUCUUCUUGAGUUUUUGUUGUUGUUUUUUAAUUAGAGGAUAAUUGCUUUAUGAUGUUGCGUUGGUUUCUGCUGCACAGCAGUGUGAAUCAGUCAUACAUGUAUAUGUACCCUUUCCCUCUUAAGCCUCUCUCCCCACUCCCAUCCCAUCCCUCUAUGUCAUCACAGAGUGCCAGACUGCACUCCCUGUGUUAUAUAGCAGCUUUGCCCAGCUAUCGCAUUUUACACACGACAGUAUAUAUGUCAAUGCUAUUUCUCAAUUCGUUCUUCUCUGUCCUUCCCCUACCCUUUUUGGGUUUUGUACCACAUGUAUUUUAACUUCCUGAUUAAAAAGAUAAUUCAGCCUGUGUUUGUUUAAAUACAUUCUUUGUGUUGGUGGCUCAGAGGUAAAGCGUCUGCCUGCAAUGCAGGAGAUCUGGGUUUGAUCCCUGGGUCAGGAAGAUCCCCUGGAGAAGGAAAUAGCAACUCAUUCUGGUACUCUUGCCUGGAAUAUCCCAUGAAUGGAGAAACGUGGUAGGCAGUCCAUGGGGUUGCAAUGCAGGACCUCAUCUGCCCCCAGAGUUCCUUGGGCUGCAGGGAUUGUCAGCCCAUAUUUCAGAUGGAAACACUGAGAAGCCCAGAGGUUGCUUUGUUCAGUGACUAGUGAUUGGUGCAGGGGGGAAUAGGGCAGCUGGUUCUCAGAUGAGGAGGUCCCACCCUGGACAGUGAACAUGGUUGGGGGCGGGGGGCGGGCGCCCAGGACAAAACCACCAGUCCCUCGACUCAGGAUGGGGGUGCCCCUCCUUCUGGGCAUUAGGCAUGGCCAGAUGGGCUGUCCUCAGAGGCAUCGCAGCGCCCCCUGGGAGAGUGGGCCAUGCACUCAGGGCCACGCAGCCACAUGGUACCUUGCUGCAAAGCUGGAGGGUUGGGGGUAAGUUUAUUCUUCAGGAAGGAUACUGCACCACCAUCAUGACUAAGAGCUGUGACACUGCAACCCUGUGAGAAAGGCCUUGCGGUAAAGGGAAGCGGUACAGGGCGAGCGCGUCUCCUCGUGAUCAGAAAGAAGGACUGUGUUCCCCUCCUGCUCUCUUGAGUUGUGGGGUUUGAAGAACACACUGAAUUCUGUUUAAGCCCCUUGGCACGGAAGACUCUGAGUGGGUGGUGGCAGGAGGACUUGAGGUGUCGGGGCAUCGGGACAGGUUGCAAACUGCCAGGUACAGGAGUCCAAGAACACCUCCAGCAGAGGCCACAGUGGUGUGUGCAGUAUCGCCGCCUAAGAAACCUGGCCGCCAUCCCCGACCACCCCCUUCAGAGUCUCAGAUGUGGGCUACAUCUGUGGAUUGAGAUGAAAAAUCUGCAUAUCUGGUGGGCCUUGGCCUGGUAAUAGCACCGCUGAUGAUCUUAUCAGGUGAAAAAGCCCAGACACGGGGCAGAAGAACCCAGAGACGUGCUGUGGACCUAGCACGCGGCAUCUGCCUUGCCUCUGGGAGGGUCUGGCCGGCUUGCCGAGGGUCCCUGAAGAUGAGGCUGCUGCUGCUCUGACCUGGUGGAAGCGCCCUGCGGACUUCCACUCAUGCUGGGAUUAAUCUAGUUCCAGGCGGGGCGGUGGUUCCUGACACGCUUUGUACACCUCAGACCCAUCUUCCAAGAUGACUGAGGCUGUGCGGGGGAGCUUAACAUUUUAACUGAGGAAGUGGAGACCAUGGCCUUGAGAAUAGUCUGAUGACUUCUCACAGUUUUAAAAAAACAGACUGUGUGUUGGUUGCCAUGCCUGUAGCUUACAAAAAAUUCUGUGUUCUUACAGAACUUACAAAAAGUUCUGUGAUGAGUGGCUUCAGUCAUUAAAAACAAGCAUUUUUAUUUUUAACAAAAUGUGGAGAUGAUGGAGGUGCUGCUGACUGGAUAAGCAUUACCAACAAGGACCACUGGGGGGCGACACAACACGGGGAAAUAGGUCUCACAGAUGUCGUUUUCUUUUCCUUGCAAAUUCUCAACCAUGUUUUUGUAUUUUUAACUAAAUGAAAAUACUGAAAAUAGUAUAGCAGAGAGCACUUUUAAUGGAAAAUUAAUUGAUAACACAGUCUUAUUUCAAUUUUCUGUUUAUUUUUAACUUAAAUGACUGUGUAUAUUCCACAGUCUUACGAUGAGAAAGGCUCUAGAGUCAUGUCCAGGUC
ensembl:lncRNA